rnacentral:rRNA from 1 species
AUGGCCGAGCUAGCUCCACUCUCCAUGCUCUUCCUUGGCCUGCUUGUCGUCGUCCCCGUGCUCUACCUCAUCCGGUCGUCCCGCCGGCAUGAGGAGGGAAGCAGCCGGCCGCGGCCCCCGCCGUCGCCGUGGGCGCUGCCGGUCAUCGGCCACCUCCACCACGUCGCCGGCGCGCUCCCGCACCGCGCGAUGCUGGGCCUGUCGCGCCGCCACGGCCCGCUCAUGCUGCUCCGCCUCUGCGAGCUCCGCGUCGUCGUCGCCUCCUCGGCCGACGCCGCGCGGGAGAUCAUGAAGACCCAGGACCUGGCGUUCGCGUCGCGGCCCAUGACCCCGACGGGGACGGCCCUCCUCGGCGACAGCCUGGGCAUCGUGUUCGCGCCCUACGGCGACGCGUGGCGGCAGCUCCGCAAGAUCUGCCCCCUCGAGCUCUUCACCUCCCGCCGCGUCAGGUCCUUCCGGCCCGUGCGCGAGGAGGAGGUCGCGCGGCUGCUCCGGUCGGUGGCGGUGGCGCCGUCUCCGUCUCCGUCGUCGGCGGUGAACCUGAGCGAGCGGAUCAGCGCGUACGUCGCGGACUCGUCGGUGCGCGCCGUCAUCGGCAGACGGUUCAAGGACCGCGGCGCGUUCCUCCGGAUGCUGGAGCGGAGGAUGAAGCUCGCGCCGGCGCAGUCCCUGCCGGACCUCUUCCCGUCGUCGCGGCUCGCGAUGCUCGUCAGCCGGAUGCCGCGCGAGAUGAAGCGGGAGCGCCGGGAGAUGAGGGACUUCAUCGACGCCAUCAUCCAGGAGCAUCAAGAGAACAACCCGGCCGGCGCCGGCGCCGACGGCGACGACUUUCUCGACGUCCUCCUGAGGAUCCAGGGAGAGGGGAAGCUCGAUCCUCCCCUCACCACCGACGACAUCAAGGCAGUCAUCGUCGACAUCUUCAUAGCGAGCAGCGAGACGUCGGCGACGGCGCUGCAGUGGGCCAUGGCGGAGCUGAUGAGGAACCCGAGGGUGAUGCGCAAGGCGCAGGAGGAGGUCCGGCGAGCUCUCGACGGGCGCGACAGGGUCACGGAGGAGAGCCUGGCGGGCCUGCGCUACCUGGACCUCGUCAUCAAGGAGGUGCUCCGGCUGCACCCGCCGGCGCCGAUGCUGCUCCCCCGCGAGUGCCGGGCCCCGUGCCGGGUCCUCGGCUUCGACGUGCCGGCGGGCGCCAUGGUGCUCGUCAACGCGUGGGCGAUCGGCAGGGACCCGGCGCACUGGGACUCGCCGGAGGAGUUCUCGCCGAAGAGGUUCGAGGGCGGCGGCGUCGACUUCAAGGGCACGGACUUCGAGUACAUCCCGUUCGGCGCCGGGCGGCGGAUGUGCCCCGGGAUGGCGUUCGGGCUGGCCAACAUGGAGCUCGCGCUCGCCAGCCUUCUCUACCACUUCGACUGGGAGCUGCCGGACGGGACGGUGCCCGGGGAGCUGGACAUGGCCGAGCUGAUGGGGCUCACCACGCGGCGGCGCUCCGACCUCCUGCUCGUCCCGGCGAUCCGCGUGCCAGUGCCAAAGCAAAAUUUGCAAGCGCCAAGCGAAAAUUCUUUCGGCAUGAAGCCUUAG